rnacentral:other from 1 species
UAUUUCCUGGGAUGCUCGAUACCCUGAUAUUUUGAACCUACAUUUGUAAUAAGGGACUCCUAAAUCGUGCUUAGGAUGCCAGGCCUCGUCAAGCUGGAGGAAGGCAGAAUAGGCAUUGCGGACACCCACCUAGCUAGCGCUAGGGAUCAAAAUUCAGGAACCGGCAUUUCGGGUACGAU